GCUGGUUAGUGAUGAACAUAUAUCCUAGACUCUUAAUGGAAAAUUCUAUGUGUGGACUAAUAAUCUUCCGCUUAUUAUCUGAUGCCUAU
rfam:Hordeum vulgare subsp. vulgare, WGS project CAJW01000000 data, contig: morex_contig_1563021